UAUGAAGGUCAGGCUGAAGACCUUACCCGAUUAGCUGAGAGGUGGUGCAUGGCCGUCGUCAGUUCGUACUGUGAAGCAUCCUGUUAAGUCAGGCAACGAGCGAGACCCACGUCCACAGUUGCCAGCAUACCCUCCGGGGUGAUGGGUACACUGUGGAGACCGCCGCUGCUAAAGCGGAGGAAGGAGUGGGCAACGGUAGGUCAGUAUGCCCCGAAUCUCCCGGGCUACACGCGGGCUACAAUGGUUGGUACAAUGGGCAUCUACCCCGAAAGGGGAAGGAAAUCUCUUAAAGCCAAUCGUAGUUCGGAUUGAGGGCUGCAACUCGCCCUCAUGAAGCUGGAAUCCGUAGUAAUCGCGUUUCGACAGAACGCGGUGAAUACGUCCCUGCUCCUU
rnacentral:rRNA from 1 species